rnacentral:rRNA from 1 species
ACCGUAAGGAGCUGUGGACUGCAUGGAAGAGAGAAUGCCGGAAUGAGUAGCGAGAUAGAGGUGAGAAUCCUCUAGGCCGAAUAUCCAAGGUUUCCAGGGUAAAGCUGAUCUGCCCUGGGUAAGUCGGGGCCUAAGGAGAGGCAGAGAUGCGUAUCCGAUGGACAGCAGGUUUAAGAUUCCUGCACCCCUUGUUAUCAGAACUGCGGGGACACGGGAAGGGAAGCAGAGCCGGGAAUGGAAAGCCCGGUGCAAGCGAAGUAGUCGCAGGGUUGGAAAAUCCGCCCUGCAUAAGACGAAGGCGUGAUGCGGAGCGAAAUGAAGUAGUGAAGCUGCGGCCCCUUCCUGUCGAGAAAAGCCGCUAUCGUGUAGCAAGGGCCCGUACCGUAAACCGACACAGGUGGAUGAGGAGAGGAUCCUAAGGCCGGCGGGAGAAGUGUUGUUAAGGAACUCGGCAAAAUGACUCCGUAACUUCGGGAGAAGGAGUGCUGCGCAAGCAGCCGCAGAGAAAUGGCCCAAGCAACUGUUUAGCAAAAACACAGGUCUAUGCGAAACCGAAAGGUGAGGUAUAUGGGCUGACGCCUGCCCGGUGCUGGAAGGUUAAGGGGAGUGGUCAGGAAACGAAGCCACGAACUUAAGCCCCAGUAAACGGCGGCCGUAACUAUAACGGUCCUAAGGUAGCGAAAUUCCUUGUCGGGUAAGUUCCGACCCGCACGAAAGGCGUAAUGAUUUGAGCACUGUCUCGACAAUGCAUCCGGUGAAAUUGAAGUACCAGUGAAGAUGCUGGUUACCCGCGCCAGGACGGAAAGACCCCAUGGAGCUUUACUCCAGCCUGAUACUGGGAUUCGGUAUUGCAUGUACAGGAUAGGUGGGAGGCUAAGAACUCAUGGCGCCAGCCGUGAGGGAGCCGAUGUUGGGAUACCACCCCUGCAGUACUGGGUUUCUAACCUGCGCCCGUGACCCGGGCGGGGGACAAUGUCAGGCGGGGAGUUUGACUGGGGCGGUCGCCUCCGAAAGGGUAUCGGAGGCGCUCAAAGGUUCCCUCAGAAUGGUUGGAAACCAUUCGAAGAGUGCAAAGGCAGAAGGGAGCUUGACUGCGACACCGACGGGUGGAGCAGGUACGAAAGUAGGACUUAGUGAUCCGGUGGUAUGAAAGUGGGAUUGCCAUCGCUCAACGGAUAAAAGCUACCCUGGGGAUAACAGGCUUAUCACUCCCAAGAGUUCACAUCGACGGAGUGGUUUGGCACCUCGAUGUCGGCUCAUCGCAUCCUGGAGCUGGAGCAGGUUCCAAGGGUUGGGCUGUUCGCCCAUUAAAGCGGUACGCGAGCUGGGUUCAGAACGUCGUGAGACAGUUCGGUCCCUAUCCGGCGUGGGCGUAGGAUAUUUGAGAGGAGCUGUCCUUAGUACGAGAGGACCGGGAUGGAC